rnacentral:rRNA from 1 species
UACGUAGGGUGCGAGCGUUAAUCGGAAUUACUGGGCGUAAAGCGUGCGCAGGCGGUGAUGUAAGACCGAUGUGAAAUCCCCGGGCUUAACCUGGGAACUGCAUUGGUGACUGCAUUGCUCGAGUAUGGCAGGAGGGGGGGUGGAAUUCCACGUGUAGCAGUGAAAUGCGUAGAGAUGUGGAGGAACACCGAUGGCGAAGGCA